rnacentral:rRNA from 1 species
UACGAAGGGGGCUAGCGUUGCUCGGAAUUACUGGGCGUAAAGGGCGCGUAGGCGGCCUGAUAAGUAGGGGGUGAAAUCCUGUGGCUUAACUGCAGGGCUGCCUCCUAGACUGUUAGGCUCGAGCACGGUAGAGGCAGAUGGAAUUCCCGGUGUAGCGGUGGAAUGCGUAGAGAUCGGGAAGAACAUCGGUGGCGAAGGCGGUCUGCUGGGCCGUUGCUGACGCUGAGGCGCGACAGCGUGGGGAGCAAACAGG